rnacentral:rRNA from 1 species
UACGUAGGGGGCAAGCGUUGUCCGGAAUCAUUGGGCGUAAAGAGCGUGUAGGCGGCCCGGUAAGUCCGCUGUGAAAGUCCAGGGCUCAACCCUGGGAUGCCGGUGGAUACUGUCGGGCUCGAGUCCGGAAGAGGAGUGUGGAAUUCCUGGUGUAGCGGUGAAAUGCGCAGAUAUCAGGAGGAACACCAAUGGCGAAGGCAGCACUCUGGGACGUGACUGACGCUGAGACGCGAAAGCGUGGGGAGCAAACAGGAUUAGAA